rnacentral:rRNA from 1 species
UACGUAGGUGGCAAGCGUUGUCCGGAAUCAUUGGGCGUAAAGAGCGUGUAGGCGGUCCGGUAAGUCCGCUGUGAAAGUCGGGGGCUCAACCCUCGAAUGCCGGUGGAUACUGUCGGGCUAGAGUGCGGAAGAGGCGAGUGGAAUUCCUGGUGUAGCGGUGAAAUGCGCAGAUAUCAGGAGGAACACCUAUUGCGAAGGCAGCUUGUUGGGAUGUAACUGACGCUGAGACGCGAAAGCGUGGGGAGCAAACAGG